GACGAACGCUGGCGGCGUGCUUAACACAUGCAAGUCGAACGCUGAAGCUCAGCUUUUGUUGGGUGGAUGAGUGGCGAACGGGUGAGUAACACGUGAGUAACCUGCCCCCUUCUUUGGGAUAACGCCCGGAAACGGGUGCUAAUACUGGAUAUUCACUGGUCUUCGCAUGGGGGUUGGUGGAAAGGGUUUUUCUGGUGGGGGAUGGGCUCGCGGCCUAUCAGCUUGUUGGUGGGGUGAUGGCCUACCAAGGCUUUGACGGGUAGCCGGCCUGAGAGGGUGACCGGUCACAUUGGGACUGAGAUACGGCCCAGACUCCUACGGGAGGCAGCAGUGGGGAAGAUUGCACAAUGGGCGCAAGCCUGAUGCAGCGACGCCGCGUGAGGGAUGGAGGCCUUCGGGUUGUGAACCUCUUUCGCUCAUGGUCAAGCCGCAACAAUGGUUGUGGUGAGGGUAGUGGGUAAAGAAGCGCCGGCUAACUACGUG
rnacentral:rRNA from 1 species